GGACGCCGGGGAUGUAUGGGUGUGUAGGGUCUGAAAUUUUGCACACAUUUACAAUAAUUGUAAAUGUGUUGAAAAUCGUUUGCACGACUGUGA
rnacentral:pre_miRNA from 1 species